GUAGGGAAUAUUGGGCAAUGGUCGGAAGACUGACCCAACCAUGCCGCGUGCAGGAAGACGGCCCUCUGGGUUGUAAACUGCUUUUAUCUGGGAAGAAAAAGGCCAUGCGUGGCAAAUUGCCGGUACCAGAUGAAUAAGCACCGGCUAACUCCGUGCCAGCAGCCGCGGUAAUACGGAGGGUGCGAGCGUUGUCCGGAUUUAUUGGGUUUAAAGGGUGCGUAGGCGGCUGAUUAAGUCAGCGGUGAAAGACUUCGGCUUAACCGGAGCAGUGCCGUUGAUACUGGUUGGCUUGAGUGUCGGAGGGGUACAUGGAAUUGAUGGUGUAGCGGUGAAAUGCAUAGAUACCAUCAGGGACACCGAUAGCGAAGGCAUUGUACUGGCCGACAACUGACGCUGAUGCAUGAAAGUGUGGGGAUCGAACAGGAUUAGAUACCCCGGUAGUCC
rnacentral:rRNA from 1 species